rnacentral:rRNA from 1 species
CCUACGGGGGGCAGCAGUGGGGAAUAUUGGACAAUGGGGGGAACCCUGAUCCAGCCAUGCCGCGUGUGUGAAGAAGGCCCUCGGGUGGUAAAGCACUUUCAGUGAGGAAGAACGCCUGGUGGUUAAUACCCAUCAGGAAAGACAUCACUCACAGAAGAAGCACCGGCUAACUCCGUGCCAGCAGCCGCGGUAAUACGGAGGGUGCGAGCGUUAAUCGGAAUUACUGGGCGUAAAGCGCGCGUAGGUGGCUUGAUAAGCCGGUUGUGAAAGCCCCGGGCUCAACCUGGGAACGGCAUCCGGAACUGUCAAGCUAGAGUGCAGGAGAGGAAGGUAGAAUUCCCGGUGUAGCGGUGAAAUGCGUAGAGAUCGGGAGGAAUACCAGUGGCGAAGGCGGCCUUCUGGACUGACACUGACACUGAGGUGCGAAAGCGUGGGUAGCAAACAGGAUUAGAUACCCCGGUAGUC